GUCAAGGUCUACCCAUAUGAAAUGCUCGCAGUUACUAACAGAGGACGAGUGAAGCUUCCCAAGGAUGUUGACAGAACGAGACUCGAGCGUCACCUGUCUCCCGAUUCAUUCUUCGAUUUCUUUGGCAUGGAGAUUCAGGAAUUUGACAGACUUCCUCUUUGGAAACGUAAUGACAUGAAGAAGAAAGCAGACCUCUUCUAAAUGAUGCCAUAAUGCCGAGUUUAACUCCUCUGUCGUAUGCAGUAUAUGUGUUCUGAUUAAUCCUAUGUUUUAUUUCUUUGCAUUUAGCACAAAAAUUAGAACUCUUUUGCCUGACAACAGGACAGGUCAUACCUUUCCGGGGACACAACACUGUACUUCCCAUUAGUCUCUGUAGACUGUUGCAUGAAAAUAGAACACAAGAACUCAACAAAGCUUUGGUAAGAUAUGCACGUUUUUGUGUUUCCCUGUCAGCUCUGUAUCCCCAAGAAUUAUGUUCAUAUUGGACAAGUCAUCUGUAUAUAAUUAUGUCCUGUGAUUGUAAAUGUAACAAGUAGUUUGACAUUUAAGUAGCUUAGUGAGAAGUAUGGAGAGAGGGCAAACAGCAAUGUGUUCUUUGAGAGUUUGCAUCUUGUUUCAAGCCGACAGGUAGUGUUGACUUUUAUAGUAUUUACCAAUGAAGACAGUGUUUCCCUUCUGUUAGCUUAAAUAGCCCCCUCUGGUAAAAAUCUAGUUUAUUUUUUUUUACCUUGUUAAAAUGCCCAUUUGGGACCCAACUGGGAGACAUUUCAGGAGCAAAAUAAGCCGCUGAGCAUUUCCAUCUUAAAACUACAGCAUACCAAUGGCAGUCUCAAAAGUAAGUACUCCCUGUGUUCUCUACGUAACAAACCCCAAGAACCAAUCCUGACAAGUUUCUGCAUCAAUUCAAUUCAAUUUAUGUGAUGCCAAUUUACAACAUGUGUCAUCUGAAGGCACUUCACUUCAUAGGGUGAAGACCUUAUGAAAUUUAUAUGGAGAGACUCAACAAAUCCAAUGUUUCUUUUGGACUUUGUAACAAUGGGGAGAGCCAGACUCGAAUGGCAGCCGUUUGCCUCAACCAGUUGGGGUAAGGCUAAAGGAGAGAGAGAACAGGAUAGCAGAUGGACAAAUAAGAAAGCAAUAAACACUCUGAAGAUCAAAGACAUGUAGCUCCAGAUCGCAAGACAGACACCUGCAGAGAGGACAAAACACACUACAAAAGAGAGGAGACAGAGUUUGUAACAUGCAAUGAUGGCAUAUAUUUGUAUGUUGAGUCAGACAGGAAAGUAGAGCAGAGGUACUCAGUGCAUCAUGGGAAGUCAGACCCCCAGUCUCAGCCUGAAGCAAUAUAACUGAAUGAUGAUUCAUUAUUCUUCAGAAUCAGCUGUUUGGUCAAACAUGUAAAGCAGAUAAUAUUAAGAGUGGCCGUUUUGCAGCCCAGAGUUUAUAGGGUUUGGGCAGAGAUGCAGGUGAGCUGGUGUGCCCCAGCUGCAGCAAGCAUGCAGAGGAGAGUUGUUUCUAAGUCAUUUUAAUACACAAAGGACCUAUUUUCAAAGGAAAAAUGUAUAAAUUUGCAACAGAGAUGAGUUUUUAGGGGUUAAAUCACCACCAGAGUGGGACGUUAAUCUUUGCUUAACUAAAAAAAUGUAAUUUUGGUACGCUUUCACUCUACUCAUGACAUGAUUAUUGAUCACUGUUUAGAAAUGAUUACGCAAAACUGCAGUUUAUAUGACUGCAUCGCUACACAAACAAACCUAAAAGCACAAUUUCAUCAGUGUGCUCAUUUGUUUGCUUUCCGAUAAAUAACCACUGACAGAUUACUGACAGUAAAGUCAAAGAUGUUGGAUCACUAGUACGUCCCCUUUCUGAGUAAUACUUGAUGCAUGCUGUCAUGACUGUGUCCACAAAGUUCACCUAAACUUUCAUCAACACGUUUCUGAGACAGGCUAUUAAAUGAUUCACUGAGGGACUGAAUGAUUUUCAGUAUAAUGGAUGACUGGUUUAAUCCUAUAUUUUUAUUCAACUGCUACUUAUUUUGUUGUCUCCUGGUUACACAAACAACAUCUUUGAGCGUGUAAAGAAAAAACAAUUUUAAGAAUUGCAUUUUUGUGUUCGUGAAUUUUCACUGGAAUGUGCUUUAUUGUAAUGUUGAAGAAAUUCACACUCAUUUUUUGUUGUAUUUCCUGCAGAUUCCGCUGUGAUAAACCUCACUGUUUGUGCUACCUUGACAUUGCUGUUAUUGUCCCACAACCAUAAAGAAUCCUAAAUAAAAUCUUUCACCUCUCACAA